rnacentral:rRNA from 1 species
UACGUAGGGGGCAAGCGUUGUCCGGAAUCAUUGGGCGUAAAGCGCGCGUAGGCGGCCCUGUAAGUCCGUUGUGAAAGUCGAAGGCUCAACCUUCGAAAAGCCGAUGGAUACUGCAGGGCUAGAGUCCGGAAGAGGCGAGUGGAAUUCCUGGUGUAGCGGUGGAAUGCGCAGAUAUCAGGAGGAACACCAAUAGCGAAGGCAGCUCGCUGGGACGGUACUGACGCUAAGGCGCGAAAGCGUGGGGAGCGAACAGG